GAAAAUGAGAGAGAGAGAGAAAGAGAGAGAGAAAGUUGUUGAAUUUCAUUUGAAAUUGGGUUAUUUAAUAAGAGAGAGAACGAUAACUUCACCUUGAGUUUUAGUUUUUUUUCCCCUCCCCCCUCUCUCUCUCUUCAAUCUAUGACACGCGAAUUUAAAACGACACCGGGCACCGUAUUAAUGUGUUUAAACGCUCUUUACGAGAUUACGUGCUCUUUACGAGGUUAUAAGUUGACCUGGUUAAUAUGAUGCCGGGCUAAACUGUUUCGCCACCGCAGAGAAGCCUGGGAAAUUACCGCGACACCUGCAUAAAGUUCACCCGCGGCAAAAUCGCUUUCCUCCCCGUCUAAAAAAAGAAUCGCACAGCCUAUUACGUAGACGAGAAGACUACAUGUAUAUAUAUAUAUAUAUAAUUUAUUCGAUCGUCGUUCGAAUAUUAUUCGUUAUUAUAUUCGUUAGGAAAAAAAACUCUUCCUUUUCAUAUGUAACGUUGAUAUUAUAUCGAUCGAAGCACGUAAUAUACAUGUAGAAAUUGUUUGACGCCGGUUACAAACGGCGGCGAAAGUAUAUACGCGUAUGAUCGCGAGAAAAUUCGUGCAAAGAAUAUCGUUAACGAAUAUCGUGUCGUUGGUGUAACAAUACUCCUUUCCCACGUUGGCACCGAGAAAACCGUGGAAAUGGUUGAGACGUACAGCGAAGGCCGCUUCUUUUCUCACUGCGUUCUGUCUACACACAGCGCUUCUAGUGCUCUAUAGUUGCGUAAUCGAUGCGCCGCAGCGAUGUAACGCAUGGAUGCACUACGUCCCAGAAAGAUUACGCAAAAAGCGAACGAGAUAUAAUUUAUAUUUGCCGUGCGUUGCUUGCCGCUACAUUUUUCUUUUUUUUCAGUUUUUGUUUUUUCAUUUUCAAAUCGUUGGCGAUUAAUUCGCGUUGGAAAGUUCUUUUUCAAAAUCGCAUUAGAUUCGCGAUCAAAUCAAAGGAAUAAAAUAUAUAAAUUUUGAUCAAGACGUAUUCGAUUACCGAACACUACACAUCAACCACCAACACACGUAAUCAAUUGUACACGAUAUUUUCACGUUUACGAUGAAAAGGAAUUACCGUGUUACGAAGCAUGAGAAAUCGAGUCUCUAGUAAUGCUCGAA